rnacentral:rRNA from 1 species
UACGGGGGGGGCAAGCGUUGUUCGGAAUUACUGGGCGUAAAGGGCUCGUAGGCGGCCAACUAAGUCAGACGUGAAAUCCCUCGGCUUAACCGGGGAACUGCGUCUGAUACUGGAUGGCUUGAGUUCGGGAGAGGGAUGCGGAAUUCCAGGUGUGGCGGUGAAAUGCGUAGAUAUCUGGAGGAACACCGGUGGCGAAGGCGGCUAUCUGGACAGAGUCUGACGCUGAGGCGCGAAAGCUAGGGGAGCAAAACAGG